UUGCUUCAGCAGUACAUAUACUAAAAUUGAAACAAUAAAGAGAAGAUUAGCCUGGCCCCUAUGCAAUUAUGACACACAAAUUCAUAAGGAAUAUAUAUACAUAU